rnacentral:snRNA from 1 species
UGCAUCCUUAUCUUGGGGUUGCGCUACUGUUCAAUGAACGAUUAGUGAGGACAGUACUGGACAGGUGCAUGCGCUUGAGCCCAUUUGGAGCA